CUGUUUGAAGUUCACUGGCUAGAAUUAGCCACAUGAUCCCACCCAAUCACAAGGAGGACAGCGAUCAUCUACAGCAUUUGUGAAAGAUGGAAAGGGAGGAAUAUUUGGUAAGCAUCGGUAAAACUAUCACGACCUGCCUACAAGAUCAUCCAUCAAAUAUUUAACAGAUACCAUAUAAUUCAUAAAAAGGUUUUUAAAAAAAUCAAAGCGGCCCCAUCACUGCCACCAUCUGACUUGACGGCAACGCCCUUCUUGCAGCCAAAGCUGAGAGCCCUGUUUGCCUUCACCCUGGGAGGGUUCAACACUUCUUAAGCCUGGGUUCACCCAGAAAACAGGCUGAGAUGUAUAUGUUGUACUUUGAUGGCCAAGUGUGGUCCUGGGGAACAACCAAGGGAUGGAUGGAUGAAAUGAGGAAAGCAAGAGAGCCAACAUAAGAAUGGUCCAUUGAGUGGACCACUGUGAGGCUGC
rnacentral:lncRNA from 1 species